rnacentral:rRNA from 1 species
AAUACAGAGACUGCAAGCGUUAUUCGGAGUCACUGGGCGUAAAGGGUGCGCAGGCGGUUGGGUGUGUCAGAUGUGAAAUCCCGAGGCUCAACCUCGGAACUGCGUCUGAAACUACUCGACUAGAGUACUGGAGAGGGUAACGGAAUUCACGGUGUAGCAGUGAAAUGCGUAGAUAUCGUGAGGAACACCAGAGGCGAAGGCGGUUACCUGGACAGUUACUGACGCUCAGGCACGAAAGCAUGGGGAGCAAAAGGGA